GAAGGCUCAUUAAGUCCGUCAGGGACGAGGCAGCAGUAGAGAAUAUUGUGCAAUAUACGGCAGUAUGACACAGAGAGCACACGCCCUCUUGGCCUGUCCAACUAAGUGCCAGCAGACGCGGUUAGACUUAGGGGCCAAGCCUUUAUGAGCAAAGGGGCGUAAAGGGUGUGUAGGCCGACUGCCCCACCCCCCCCAAGGUGGUAAAUGGAAUUUUUCUGUAGCGGUAGAAUGUGCGGAUAGAAAAUAGAACCCCAAAAGCAGAAGCAAUUUACCGCGGGGCGGGAGGGGGGCCCCCUAGGGCGCCCCCCGGGCUACGGGCUGAAACACGAGGGUGUGGGGAACAAACAGGAUUAGAGACCCUGGUAGUCCACACUGUAAACGAUGGAGAAAAUGCGAAUGCAGCCCCGAAAGGCAGCAAUCUCCCGCCUGAGUAGUACGAUCGCAAGAUUAAAAUUCAAAAAAUUUGGCUGUUCACCGUUUCGAUUAGAGGAGCGUGUAGUUUAAUUCGAUAAACCGCGAGAUACCUUACCCAAACUUGAAUCCUUGAGGAUUCCAAGGAAUCCUUAUGGACCGGUAUUGCAUGGCCGUCGUCAGUUCGUGUAUGAAACCUUAAACGGACCCAACCCGAGGAUUAGCCGCGGAUGAAGUCAGGUCUUAUGGUCCCAAUGUUUGGGGAUAAUAUGCGCUACAUUUUCUUAUACAAUGGGAAACCUGGGAGGUGAAACCCAAAAGUGAGAGUUCGGUAGGCUAUUGGAAGAUGGCCGAAAGUUGAAUUUAAUAGUAAUCGGAAAGUAUAGCGUUCCGGUGAAAUGGUCUAGGUGUUAGCACAAAUCGCCCGUCACCUUAACUUAGGAUGAUGGUUCGGACGCCGCCGCGCCCCCACGGGCUCCGGCGGUUACGGGCCCCUACGAAGUUAAGCAA
rnacentral:rRNA from 1 species